rnacentral:lncRNA from 1 species
UUUUUUAGGGCUGCACCCGUGGCAUGUGGAGGAUCCCAGGCUAGGGGUCUAAUCAGAGUUACAGCUGCCGGGCUACACCACAGCCAUAACAAUGCCAGAUCUGAGCCACGUCUGUGACCUACACAGCCCAUGGCAAUGCCGGAUCCUUAACCCACUGAGUGAGGCCAGGACUUGAACCCGCAACCUCAUGGUUCCUAGUCAGAUUCGUUUCCACUGUGCCAUAACAGGAACUCCCAGAAUUUUUUUUAAUAAAUGAGAUAUUCAGUUGGAAGUGGUUUUUAAGAUAGCUUGAUGUGAGAGAAUUGGCUGAGGUAGGAAUUAUGUUUUGAAGUAGAGGCUUAAAGUUAUCAGGGUAUUAAUUAAGGUUGGUGGUUUAAAAGGAAAAAUUUUUUUUUUUUUGAAAAUAGCAAAGGGAAAAUUUAACCCAAAUAUUUUGUGAAAAUUUUUGCUGUAUGUAUGUAUUUAUUUAUUUUGCUUUUUGAACCAAACCUGUGACAAAUGGAAUUUCCUGGGCUAGGGGUUGAAUCAGAGCUGAAACCACAAGAGCAGGGGUUCAAGCUGCGUCUUCAGCCUACACCACAGCUCACCACAACGCCGGAUCCUUGACCCAUUGAGCCAGGCCAGGUUUUGAACCCGAAUCCUCAUAGAUACUAGUCAGGUUCUUAACCUGCUGAGCCACAAAGAGAACUCCCCAUUUGUUUUUAAUUAGAGAAGGAAAUGGAUAAAUUCUUGUUUUCUCCCAAGUUAGGUGUUUUGUUAGUUGGAUGUUUCUAAAAUCUCUGUACUUUCUAAUUAUCUUAAGAUCAAGGACAGAGCACUUUUCUUAUUGGGAAUUUCUCUGAAGUAGCCAUGAUGGAGCCUUGCUCAAGGUGAUUUGUAAUACUUGUGUGUGGAUUUCAUCAUUGGCAAAGGCUGCCCCAUCCUAUUGUUCAUGCAGACAUAAUUGUUGGCCAGGGAUUUGGGCUAACAUAAAGUGACUGGUUACUCAGCCCUAUUAUAUACUCAAUAAUAAAUAUCUUCUUACAUCAUGUUUGAUGAACAUAAAUAGAUGUAGGAUUAGUUAAAUAUUUAUGACAGUCAGCUAUACCAGUAGGUAUACAUAUAAUAUUUUAUAUUCAAACCCUUAGCAUACAUAAAUAUGGAAUAAAAAAGAGAGUCAAUGAAUGUACAAUUUAGAGGUGUUUUGAUCCAACAUUUUAAUGUACAUUAAAAUGAAUUUAGUGUAUUUUAAGGUCUGUUUGAAAUACUCAGUGCAUAGAGUUGUUGUUGUUGUUGUUGUUGUUGUUUUAAACUGGGAUAUAAUAAAUACUUUACUGAGACCUUGAAUGCCCAGAGUUCAUAAUUAUCCCAAAGAAUCUUUUCACUCCAGGCCACCUGGAGACAAAAUUUUAAAGUAGGGAAAGUUUGCAUUUUACUAUUACCUUUCAUCUUUAGGAAUGACUCUUAUUACCCUAGGCCCAGAAUUAACCUGCAUUCUCAUAUGUAGCCUUUUUCUUACCUCCAAAAUAUUUUCUCUAUUGCACAGGACUUAGACUAUGAUUUCCUGAUGUUCCUAACUUGAGGGUAAUUGCUCUUCCCUCCUGAGUUCUAGCCAUCCUUCUCUGUUUGAAAAUGGGGUUAUUCACAUACCAAGUGAUCACCCCUCCCCACCAGCCAGGCACAAAGUGUGAUGUAGAAAGUUUUUAGCAUCACCUCAGUCAAAGAAGUUGCCUGAAAUAAAUAUGCCAUCUUGGCUACUAGCUGUACUAUUAGAGGUACAUAUACUAUUUUUAAUUCAAACCCUUAGCAGAUAUAAAUAUGGAGUGAAAAAGAGAAUCAACAAAUGCACAACUUAGAGAUAUUUUGGUUCACCAUUUUAAUAUAGAUUAAAAUGAAUUAGUGUAUUUUUAAGUUUAUAAAUUCCCAGUGCAUAGAGUUUUGUUUAAAAAAAAAAAAAAGUAAUAUAAUAAAUACUGCACCGAGACUUUGAAUGCCCAGAGUUCAUAAUUACCUCAAAGAAUUUUUUAUCAGCUACACAGCCUGGCUUUGAGUAUAAAAAUGAGAAAUUUUCUUCUGGUAGUUAUAGCUGAAUAGCCCUGGUGAGUUUCCAUACAAGUGGAGUGGGGACCUUAAUCAAAAUUUCAUGGGAAAUAAUACCACUUUGAAUAAUUCAGCUGUUACUUUCUUUGACUAAACUGAGCUCUAACAGCCCAGGACAUCACAGAUGAGAUGCAUUUUCUCUAGCUCCCUACCAUUCUUACCUUUACUGGCUUUUUCUAUGCAAAUAAAGCAGAGCUAUCCUAGGAAAUCAAGAUAUCAUUACAUUUAUUGUCUUUUCUCUCAUCACUGUUUUUCCCUAUUAAAGUUAUAUGUUAGUUCUUUAAAAAUAGCCUCAGGGACCCCUGUGUUUUUUCUCUAAGCCAUACCAAUCUAAAAUAAACUAACAAAAUCACACAUACAAAAGAAGGAGAAGGAGAUGAUGAGAUGACGACGAUGACGACGAAGAAGAAAGCCCAAAACAGGUUAUUUAAAGAUGCAAUUCAACAAGGCCAGAAAUGAGGUCUUGAUCUCCUGGGAUAGCACACAUCUGCUAGUAGGCUGCCCGUUUGCUUUUCUUUGCCCAAUGGAACAUUUGGUAUAGGUGAUUAAUGAGAGAUCAACGGAGAAACAAAGUGACAUACUUCCCAAAUUGAAGACUUCAGCUUACAGGAGUCCCUGUGGAAAUCUUGAGGUCAUCUUCUAAGGAAACAAAGGAGUAUUGAACAUGAAGAAGGAGAAUUGCCUGAAAAAAAUCAAUCUUGAACAGCUCUUCUCGGUUAUUUCUGUUCUGAUGGUGUGUUAACUCAUAACAUGAGGACAAAACCAAAAAGCAACCAACCUGAAUUAAGCAAACCCCAAUUUCUUAAAAGCACUCAAAGACGUAUUAUUGAUAACAAAUUGAAAGUACAGUUCCUCCUUUGCUAAAAAUUAUGUUCUUUGUUACUAUCCACAUGGAGAGCUUGCCAUAUGCCUGGUUCCCAAGAUGUAUUAGCAGAGAUAAAGACACUGAUUUGUGAGGAAAAUGAGGAAUCUGGCCAAUGUCACCCGGUAACUUUAUCAAUAGGGAAAGAAAGCAAGCAAAAUACAGCUCCCCUUCAAACUCUUGGCAGAUAAACAAACAUAAAUACCAAUGUAUAGAGUAUGCUUGUAUGUAUGAUCUUUAACCAAAAUAUAUAUUUAUAGGUGAGGCUUAUUGUCUUAUUUAUAGAUUUAUGUGCAAUUUUUGUAUUUUUUAAAGAAAUAUGCAGAAUCCAAGUAUUUCUGGAUUUUAGGAUUUCCUGAGCAUUUAUGUUAUUUGUAAAACUUGAUUCUAGAAAUAUUUUCUCCAGAAACCUCUCUAUUGACAUAAUAUUAUUGGAACAUAUGAUAGUAACUACACUUAACAACCUGCAUAUGAACAGUGAAGUUCCUAUGUCAAACAGUUCAAAAUCAAACAGUUAAGUUCCUAUAUCUUAUAGGUCACAAUACUUGGCACCAAAGUUAUAACAAAAUAAUAGACAUGGACUUACCCCCAAAGUUCUUACACUUUCCUAGGUGAAGUGGCAUUUAUUUAUAUUCUUGAAGAAUUCCAUGCCCCCUUCCCCCCCCCCAAAAAAAAAGAGGAGUUCCCAUCGUGGCUCAGUGGAAAUGAAUCUGACUAGCAUCCAUGAGGACGCAGGUUCCAUGCCUGGCCUAGUCUCCCUCAGUGUGGCUAAGGGUCUGGAGUUGCUUUGAGCUGUGGUGUAGGUUGCAGAGGCAUCUUGGAUCUGGCAUCGCUGUGGCUGUGGCUGGUGGCUGCAGUUCGGGUUCAGAUUCGACCCCUAGCCUGGGAAACUCCAUAUGCAGCAGGUGCCCUAAAAAACAAACUAACAACAAUAAAAAAAAAACACUGGAAUUCCAUGCCCAAAUGCACAGUAAUGUGAAGCACUCUCAGUUUAUGAUAAGGUAUAAAUUCCUACCUGUAGAACAAAAAACAACUGGUUAGCACACAUUGUCAAAUGAGCAACAUGGAAAAUAAAAGCAAAACUGAAAUUGAAAAUAAAUCUACACACAACUUUUAUAAAAAGCCUCAUGGUACAAACAUGAAGGAUUUUAAAGUUUCAAGAAGUGAACUUUUAUAAAAUCUGGAGGCAGGGUUUGAGUCCCAUCUCUGACACACAUUGUCUGAGUUCUAAAGACGGUAUACAAGCCCUACCAUUGUUUCACAAUGGAGUUGUUAUUGGCAUUUGGAGCAGGAUAAUUCUUCUUUGUUGUGUCUGCCUGAAAAUUUGUAGCGUAUUUACCAUCCUUUGCUCCUGACAUCAAAGGUUAUUAUGACCUCCCAUUUUCUUUCUUUCUUUUUUUUUUUUUUUGUCUUUUUAGGGCCACACCUGCAACCUGCAGCAUAUGGAGGUUCCCAGGCUAAGGGCCCAAUCAGAACUGUAGUCACUGGCUUACACCAAGCCACAGCAAUGCCAGAUCUGAGCCGCAUCUGUGGCCUACACCAUAACUCAGGGCGAUGCCAGAUCCUUAACCCACUGAGCAAGGUCAAGGAUCGAACCUAUGUCCUCAUGGGUUCUAGUCAGAUUCGCUCCCGCUGGGCCACCACAGGAACUCCUGACCUCCCAUUUUCUUGACACAAACCCUCCCCGCCUCAACCCUCACACUUUGCAAAAAAAUUGAAUAGAAGUUAGUGAUGGGGUGGGUGCUGUCACCUUUGUUGAGUACCUCUAUUUUUAACCAUCAUGAACCUGUUAUUCCCUCAUUUGUAAAUAGGACUUUUUGUUCACAAAUUAAUUUUUCCCUUUGUUCUGAAUUUCUCAAAUUCCCUACAGAUUACAACAUAAAGUAAAAUCAUAAAGAUAACUUUUAGAAUCUUUGUGGGGAUGUUAAUCUUUUUUUUUAUCUUGCCUCACAAGUAUGACCACUAUAUGGGCAUUGGAGAAGGAAGCAAUGAGCAGCUAGAAACAAAGUAUAUGGCAGGAUAAGAAAAAAAAAUGUUACCUCCGGAGUUCCCAUCAUUGCUCAGUGGUUAACGAAUCUGACUAGGAACCAUGAGCUUGCAGGUUUGAUCCCUGGCCUUGCUCAGUGGGCCUUGGUCAGCGUGGCCGUGAGCUGUGGUGUAGGUUGCAGACGCAGCUCGGAUCCCACGUUGCUGUGGCUCUGGCGUAGGCUGGCGGCUAUAGCUCCUAUUCGACCCUUAGCCUGAGAACCUCUUUAUGCCGUGGGAGCAGCCCUAGAAAUGGCAAAAGGACAAAAAACAAAACAAAACAAAUUCUGAAAAUAUUUCAUUUCAUCUUCUGUUUUUUUCCUUCCUCUCUUAGUAUACUCAUACUGUGCUUGUGCCAUGAAACUUGAAGUAGCAAUAAAUUCAUUGCCUCAUACAGCAACUGAGCUCAAUAAAACUAGGUGAAUUUUAAUGAGAUAAAUACUAAAUCUUACCACUAAAAAAUUAAGUGCAGAAUAACUUAAGUAUUGAUCUGCUCCAUAUAUCAAAAAGACUAUAGAAGAUUCUCAAAAAUUCUAUAAGCUGCAACAGCCCAAAGAAACUAAAUGUGACUAUGUAUGUGUGUUGAAAUACAAAAGGACCAGAGAAGUAUUCUGGAGAUUUCAAGAAGAUAAGGUUCUUCUUUCAAAAAUCAGAAGGUCAAUUUCUAACCCACCAUUUAUUUUUUAAGAGGAUCCUGCUAUACCCCUCCCCUGUUGCCCUGUGGGCUUUUUGCUCUGCCUCAAGUUUUUCAUGUACCAAUGGAAAUAGAAAGACAGGGACUGCUAAGAACAAAAUUUUAAAUAACCUUUUUCUUUCUCUUUCUCUCUCUCUCUCUCACACAGUAGGCUUUAUCAAUUUAUAUCCACUUUCUUUUGUGAAAUUUAAUUUAGUCAUUUUCCAAGACAUCCUCAUUCAUUUUGUGAUUGAGCUCCAUCUUUCUAAAUGGAAAGAGGGUUGGGUUGAAUAUAUAGAGGGAGGUGACCUUUACCCAAUGAUGGGAUUGUGCGAGAGAUUUAUGAUUGUAAAAGGAUUCCUGUCUACACAGAUGGCAAAUCCCAGCAUUUCUAGUCUCUGCCACUGCCUCAUUUCCUUCUGCCACAUUGCUCUGCUGCAAUGUUCAAUCAUUGUCUCCUUUGGUAUGUUUCAAUUGACAGGAACAUUUACAAAUGAAAUCCUUACUAAAGGUGAAGUAAAACGAUUUUCUCCUUCAAACUGAUGACAUCUCUGGUGUCUAGGAACAGAAGGGAGAAUCCAUCUGUUGGCAGGAAGAGAAAAAAGAAGGUACACAAGGUACUGUAUGUUUGCAAUUUUUUUUUUCAAACACUGGAGACAGGAAAUGUUUGAGUUGAAGUGCUAAUGGUAAAUGUCUGAGUGUGUGCUCCGUAUUAUUGCAUGCAAAAAUUGCAUUUAAAAUGAACUUAGAGAUGACACUUUAAAUACUCAGUCCCCCCCCCAGCCAAACAAAACCAUUUUUUAAAAAUACAAACUAUACUAAUAAUGUGAAUGACAUGUUGGAAAAAUUAAGCUAGGUAUGCAGUGCUCUUUAAAAUGAUCACUGUCAUUUAAUCUGUUUCCACCAACAUUUUAGGUUCCCUGAUGCAGAGAGAAAUACAUAAUGAGAUAUGCUCAUUAAUGUGGAGUCUUAGGAUAUUUCUCUUUAUCGUUUAGGUGCUUUUAAAGAUACUGAUUUUUGUCUUAGGAGAAAACUGUGUGUAAAAUACCCCUCAAAAACCUGACUGAAUCAGCAGAAUAACAUAACCUGUCUGGCUUCCAUGUAUCAGAAAUUCCUUACUAC